rnacentral:rRNA from 1 species
AGUGCACAAGGGAGCUUGACUGUGAGACCGACGGGUCGAGCAGGGACGAAAGUCGGGACUAGUGAUCCGGCAGUGGCUUGUGGAAGCGCUGUCGCUCAACGGAUAAAAGGUACCCCGGGGAUAACAGGCUGAUCUUCCCCAAGAGUCCAUAUCGACGGGAUGGUUUGGCACCUCGAUGUCGGCUCGUCGCAUCCUGGGGCUGGAGUCGGUCCCAAGGGUUGGGCUGUUCGCCCAUUAAAGCGGUACGCGAGCUGGGUUUAGAACGUCGUGAGACAGUUCGGUCCCUAUCCGCUGUGCGCGUAGGAAUAUUGAGAAGGGCUGUCCCUAGUACGAGAGGACCGGGACGGACGAACCUCUGGUGUGCCAGUUGUCCUGCCAAGGGCAUGGCUGGUUGGCUACGUUCGGAAAGGAUAACCGCUGAAAGCAUCUAAGCGGGAAGCCUGCUUCGAGAUGAGUAUUCCCACCAACUUGAUUGGUUAAGGCUCCCAGUAGACGACUGGGUUGAUAGGCCAGAUGUGGAAGCCCGGUAACGGGUGGAGCUGACUGGUACUAAUAGGCCGAGGGCUUGUCCUCAGUUG